ACCCGACCCGGCUCCAUUGCCACCUCCCCGCACAACGGUUAUAUCAUGGGUUGUUCAAGGUUGAAAUGCGCGCAGGUGAGGUGACUACCCGUAGCCGCCAUACAAUGCUCAAAACAAAGGCCUCUACAGACCUGGUUUCCCGCCCAAUCAUCAUUCUUUCGAAAACCCAACUCCACAAGUUUCGACAACAAUCUUUUACAGAAAAGCUCUUAUCCUUUUUGAAAAAAUGCACAUCCAUCAAACUCUUACAACAAAUCCACGCCCAAAUGCUCAUCAAUUCCAUCCAAAAACCGAACUUCCUUCUCUCCAAAAUCAUUGACCUUAACAACUUCGCCUACGCUUCCCUUCUCUUCUCCCAAAUCCCUCAACCCAAUGAUUACGCUUUCAAUGUCAUGAUCCGUGGCCUUACUACCACAUGGCAACACUACUCUACAACUCUUCAUUUUUAUUAUCAAAUGAAAUUUUUAGGCUUAAAACCGAAUAAAUUCACUUACCCUUUUUUGUUUAUUGCCUGUGCCAAUCUUUUAGAGCUAAGUCACGGGCAGGCAGCUCAUUCGUCGGUGUUUAGACUGGGGUUGGACGUUGAUUCUCAUACUACUCACUCUUUGAUUACAAUGUAUGCUCGUUGCGGUGAAUUGGGUAGUGCUCGUAGGGUGUUUGAUGAAAUAUCUGAGAGGGAUUUGGUGUCGUGGAACUCAAUGAUUUCGGGAUAUUCUAAAAUGGGUUAUGCGAAUGAGGCGGUUGGUUUGUUUGGGAAGAUGAGAGAGGAAGGAUUUGUGCCUGAUGAGAUGACGUUAGUCAGUGUCCUUGGGGCGUGUGGGGAUUUGGGGGAUUUAAGUUUAGGGAGGUGGGUGGAGGGGUUUGCUAUAGAACAUAAGAUCAAACUGAAUUCAUUUAUUGCGUCUGCUUUGAUUGGUAUGUAUGGAAAGUGUGGGGAUUUUGUAUCGGCGAGGGGGGUCUUUGAUGGAAUGGAGGGGAAGGAUGUGGUCACCUGGAAUGCGAUGAUCACUGGGUAUGCACAAAAUGGAAUGUCAGAUGAAGCAAUAAAGCUGUUUCAUGGCAUGAAGGAUGCAGGAGUUAUCCCAGACAAAAUUACAUUGGUUGGAGUUCUGUCAGCAUGUGCCUCAAUUGGGGCCCUAGACUUGGGGAAAAGGAUUGACACAUAUGCAUCACAAAGAGGCUUACAACGCAAUAUCUUUGUUUCUACUGCUUUGGUUGAUAUGUAUGCUAAGUGUGGGAGCUUGGACAAUGCACAAAGAGUAUUUGAAAACAUGCCUGUAAAAAAUGAGGCUUCAUGGAAUGCAAUGAUUUCUGCUCUUGCUUUCCAUGGGCGACCUCAGGAGGCUUUAUCACUAUUUGAACGCAUGUCAAAAGAGGGUAGGGAUGCCUGUCCAAAUGAUGUUACAUUUGUAGGAGUACUUUCAGCAUGUGUGCAUGCAGGAUUGGUUGAUGAAGGCUGGCAAUAUUUUGAAUUGAUGAACUCUUCAUAUGGGUUAACACCAAAAAUUGAGCAUUGCUCUUGCAUGGUUGAUCUUUUGGCACGUGCUGGUCAACUUUAUGAAGCUUGGGAUUUCAUUGAGAAGAUGCCUGAAAAACCAGAUGAAAUUGUACUGGGGGCACUACUUGGUGCCUGUCAGAAGCGCAAAAAUGUUGAUGUUGGUGAGAGGGUGAUGCAACUUCUGCUGCAAAUGGAGCCUUCAAAUUCUGGAAACUAUGUUAUCUCAUCAAAGAUAUAUGCAAAUUCAAGAAGGUGGGAUGACUCAGCAAAAAUGAGGGUGUUGAUGAGGCAGAGGGGUGUCAAUAAGACUCCUGGUUGUAGCUGGAUUGAAAUCGAAGCUCAACUUCAUGAAUUUCUUGCUGGGGAUGGCUUGCAGUAUCAUUCAAUCAAGAUUCAUCAAGUCUUUGACUUGCUGAAUGCGGAGAUGAAGAGGGAAGGUUACAUUCCAAAGGUUGAUUGUCUAUAGAGAUAGAAAAAAAAGUUCAGAAACAUGCUUUCCUCUUAAUCUUUUCAAUACUGAAGAAACAUACUCGGAAUUUCUUUGCUGUCAGUUAAAACACUAAAGGUGGGGGAAGAUCAUGUCAUCUGGAGUUAUGGAUCUAUUAAUCGUCAACAUGGAUAGUUGUUUGUGGUCAAGGACGGCCCAAUGGUAGCCACACUUUAUCUCUAACAAGUUGGUUCUCAUGGGUUAACACUAUCUCCUAAUGUGUUUCAUCAGGAAUUGCCCAUUUUUUAAGAGCUAAGACUAAUGAGAAUAGAAGACAUGCCAUAUUUGAUACAUGUAAAAGAAAUGGCUGACUAUGUGGAUUCAAGCUUAAGCUCUGAAGUGGAACUGCUAUUUGUGGAUCUAGAACAAGAUACUCCAUAGAUCUUUGAACUUUUGUUUCAGAUGAGAACAGUUGAAGACAAAAAUUCACCAGGGGUGCUGCUUAUAUUAUUUCAGAAGUUGUUCUCAUGAUUUUUCUUCUUCAAGGAAUGGGAAAUUAUCUCCUGCCAGUUGACAGGACAAACACAUGGCAAAUAUUAGUUCCUCCAGUGAGCUGAUAAAUUCUUUGUUCUUUGUACUUAUUGAUGUCAGUAGCUGCAUACCUGACACUAUGAUCACUGUACCAACUUUAAAUGGGUUCGAUUGAGAGCUUAAAGCUUGCUGGAGAACUAAAUCCAAGGCCCAUCAAUAAAGAUUUGGUUGGGAUAAUUAAUUCUUGAAGGACUUGAAUGAGCAUAGAUGCAAGCUGCUGGAAAAUGUUUAGGUGAAGGACUCAUUUCCAGUUUUGAAUUAAGAUACUUGGCCCUUAAAUUAGAUACAGCAUUGGUCAUUCCAGGUGUAUUUGGUAUAUUGGUGAGAAAUCCCACCAAUUGAGGUGAGUGGGUGAACUAUCUUGAACUAUACUUCCAUACGAAGUAUAAUAUAUAUAUAUCUUCUCGGAUACUUGAAUCUAUUGUGGAAAGUAUGAGCUGGUAGAAAACAAUUAGGCUUUUUUGUGAUUGUGCCAUUGUUUUAUCAAUUGUCUUGGAAAAAAUUAAGUAUGUACAUACUAGACUAUCUAUAUUGAUUUAAAAGUGGGAAACAAGCCAUUGACUGCGACUUUGCUUCAAAAUCUGCCUUGCAAAUGAUUGUGCGUUGUUUAGGCCGAGAAUGGCCAUUGAGUGAUUCAAAAAAAAAAGAAUUCAAUUUUCACUCAUUUGAAAUUGUGAAUAUGCAUGAUGGUUUUUGGAUAUGCACCAUGGCUUUUAAAUGAAUUUGUGCAUACCAUAUUGAAUUAUAAAGUAUUUUACCUACUUCUCAUUAGUGUGUUUUAUGCUUGAAAUGAGUAUGAUUUUACAUUAAUAAGCACUCGGGUAUAGGUCCUAUUGCCACACCAGGCUUGUGUGGUCUUUGUGAACAAAGUAAUUGAUGCAUAUUCACAAUUUCACUCAUUUGAAAUUGUGAAUAUGCAUGAUGGUUUUAGGAUAUGCACCAUGGCUUUUAAAUGAAUUUGUGCAUACCAUAUUGAAUUAUAAAGUAUUUUACCUACUUCUCCAUUAGUGUGUUUUAUGCUUGAAUGAAAUGAGUAUGAUUUUACAUUAAUAAGCACUCGGGUAUAGGUCCUAUUGCCACACUAGGCUUGUGUGGUCUUUGUGAACAAAGUAAUGGUUGCUUGUUGAUUGAUGUUUGAAUAUAAAGAGGAACUUGAAGCCCCAACUAGAUAUUUGAUGGCAUGAGGAGUCCCACGAGUAGUUAAAGAGGGACUUGAAGCCUCGAUUUA